CAGUCGCCACGGUAAUACAGAGGGUGCGAGCGUUAAUCGGAUUUACUGGGCGUAAAGCGUGCGUAGGCGGCUUCUUAAGUCGGAUGUGAAAUCCCUGAGCUUAACUUAGGAAUUGCAUUCGAUACUGGGAAGCUAGAGUAUGGGAGAGGAUGGUAGAAUUCCAGGUGUAGCGGUGAAAUGCGUAGAGAUCUGGAGGAAUACCGAUGGCGAAGGCAGCCAUCUGGCCUAAUACUGACGCUGAGGUACGAAAGCAUGGGGAGCAAACAGGAUUAGAUACCCCCGUAGUCCCUGUCUCUUAUAC
rnacentral:rRNA from 1 species